GGCUGUUUGUUUUCUUCUGAUCUCUUAACAGUUUUGAUUAAAUGAUGGACCAAAAGUUAACAUCACUUCUGCAAUUGGUCUUGUUAUUGUAUACUUUGCCGUGCUUUUUCUCUUUGUGCUGAAGUUGUAGACAAAUUAAACGAUGGACUUGUACUGUUGUACAUUGGUUGGAACGUCCUCAUCCACGCAAGUACAUGGUUUCAAACUUUUGCCAAAAUUUCCUUCAUUUUUUCAGUCUCUACUCCCCGUCAAAUGCUAACCCUCCCGGUUUAUUUAGAUUGUGAGUAGGCAUAUACACCUGUACUCAGCCUUCGAUGGAAUCAGCGGUGCAAUCUUUUGGUGGUGUUUUUCAUUCUUCUCCUUCUAGCAUUGUUGUGUUAGUAAAGGGAAUUGGAUUGUAAGAACUGCGGUUGUGGCAAAGAUGCAACUUCCCAGUUGGACAUAAUCUAUAUCCCAUUUUCAGGAUUACAUUAAAACGGCAAAGAAGUUUGACAUUUCAAGGAAUUAGCUUAUAUAUCAAGGAACCUGAGGGUCCUGCAUUAUAAAUUGGGCCUUCUACUACUUAACUUGAGCUCUAUCUUUAAAAAGAGAGUCAAGAAGCCAAGAGUACUUCCCUUAACUUGGACAAAAAUAGUAAUAGUUAGAAAUUUGCAUCGAGGUCUGCUUGGAAUUUGCAAUGCAAAAAUAUAUGUUCCCUCUUUGAGCCGCACUAAGCGAAACAAAUUGGGCAAAGCUUGUGUACAUCUUAUUUGUUUUAUGUUGUCAUGGUAAUGAAAUUCAAAGUGCAUUAUCAACCCGUCUUGGUAUACUCAUGAUCUAUGGAAUUGAUGUUCACGACCAUAACAAUGCUUAAGUUGCAACAAUAUUUCCACACAACACUGGCUUAGGAGCAACUAGGCAAGUAAAUGGUACGUAGAUGUUACUUGGUCUGUGAAACGAUGAAUAUAUUAGAACUGAUAGCUUGCCUUAUAGUAUAAUCAAGACUCCUCACAAAAAUUAAGUGAAAAAAAGGAUAUUGUUUGGUGCUUUGUUGGCAGUAGAGUUUUGUGUGUGUUAUAUGUUAAUCCAAGAUUUAUUCUACCAACCACUUCUGGUCAUUGACCUCAAUUGCGUGUUUCUCAAAUCUUUAGUCUAGACCUGCUAGAAGAAUGAAAUAUGAGAAGAUUGCAAAAUAAGUUUAUAUGAAGGUUUUUUAUUGUACAUCUGGAGAGGCAUAAUAUUCUUAUGCAAGGACCCUCAACUGGAGAAAAAAAAUGUUGCAGCUACUGCUCUUGAAGUGAGAGCUACAAGAAUACCUUAUGCCGUUGCACCUUGUAUUGUGGUACAUAAUUGUAAAAAAAUUCAAUUCCAGAAAUCAGAAUACUUCCUUCACUUGGUUUGCUCAGCAGUUCUUAGAAAUAUAUUUAUUUAAGGUACUAUUUUGGUUUCUUUCCACUAAAUAGUUAUAAACCAAUACCUUGAAUUGCUUUCCGAACUCGAAGCUUCAAUUCUAAGAAGAUCAAGAUACAUAUCUAUAGUCAAAAUAUGUAUAUUCUGAAUUCUUCCUUUUGCUGUCUUCGCAAGACCUUGUAUUGUAAACUUAUUUUUAUAAGUCCUUCUGUUUGGUGCCUUCUAUAAUUCUGGUCGAUAUGUAAUCCAAGUCGGUGAUAGAAAUAUUACAAGAUUUACCGUUAGACUCCUAACGGUCAUGUGUAAGUUUCCUUGAUACCAGUGUGUAGUUCUAUUUAACUAAAUCCAUAACCAAAUAAAGGAAAGAUAAAUUCCUUUAACAUGUACUAAACAUGCAAAUAAAAUUGUAUACAUUUAUAAUAAAAGAACCAGACCUAGAGGUUGGCAUGAAUAAAUAUUGACACAUAUUGACAUUGAUAAAAAUAUUUUUUUCCCUACUGAUGCCCAUCAAUAACAAUACAAAUUUCAGCCAUUUUCUACAAAAUGACCUGUGCCUCGCACACUCCUGUUUAUCCUGUUCAAGAUAAAGAAGAUAUAUGCAUCAAUGAUGAAGCUUUCAUGAUCAUGAAAGAAAGACGCAGAUUCCUCCACUUUUAUAAAUGCUUUUCGUCUAAUUAGCAUGGCCUCAAGCCUGGAUCUUUCAGGCUUCUUCGAGAAAGAGGAUGUUUCUGAGAGGACCAUCAGAUUUACAUCUCAUCAUUCUUCAAAAGAAUUGACUGAGGGGAUUGAAGACAUUGUUACACAGAUGGGUUUUUUAUUCCGGAAGAGAAGUGGACAGGUCGGUUAUUAUCAGGCUACUCGCUGAUCAUUUGUUUUCUUACAAAUUUAUUCUUCCUGUUCCCUUCUCUGACCCGAGUCGCCUCCUAAACCGAGCUCUGCUACCAUCUUAAGUUUUCAAAACACACCAACAAGAUCCUAUGCUACAACAAACAUUAUUCAACACAAACAACAUGUACUGAAAUAUCUCUUGCUUAUUGAAUAUUAACUCAAAUACCCAGAAAUUUAACUAAUUGUCGCUUAAUUUGGGCCAAUGUGGUUAGCUGAAAGUGCUGCAUUUCAUAAAGAUCACAACAGUCUAGUCAGUCUUUCAGUUGCAGUAGAGGUUGGCCUUAAACUCAAAUUCUACAUUUAUUUUAAUCUACUCAGCAGCUCAAUUGUCGCGAUAUGAUUCUUAUUCGAACUCAUGCUCCUCUGCAACAUAGAAUCACGUGGAUCAUUAAAGAACAACCCCAUUUCUCUGUCUUCCAGAAUUAAACAUAACUCUUUGAGUUCAAUUUUUAAUUACUUCCGCUUUCAUGGACUACCCAGACGCUCUAACAAGGUUAGACAUAUCUUUACUUUUACUUGUUGUCAGUAUCUAUGUCAUUUCCCUGCUUUUAAGUCUUAUUUUAAGCCCUAUGUGUAUGUUUAUAAAUAUUUCCACUUGGAAAGAGACAUUAAUUAAACAUUAGGUAAUUUAUUUAAUCUACAAAUUGCUUAAAGAUGAAUAAAAAGGCUUCAUAUAAAUUACAAGCUGAUUCAAAACCAUUUUCUGAGAAAUAAGGAACCAAUAUAAUCUUGUAUCCAGUUGGAAGGAAUUCAAUUGGGAGGAAAGGGGUGUAGAACUAAAGAUAAAUAUUAGUACCAAUGUGGAGAUUUAUGCAUGAUACUGAUUCCUUCCUCAAUUCUACUCUACAUAUAUGAACUAGAUUUCAAUCUCAUUAUUCUAACAUGCUCAAAUCUCAUCGUAGAAAGAAGUUAGCCACACAGAGUUUUUUCUUUUUAAUGCUUACCUCGCUCUGAACUUUUUACUUGCACUUGUUAUUUUUUUCUAUUCCAUCUAAAUCGUAUUUGCAUUAUAUUGUAUUUUAUUAUUCAGUUGCAUUAUCCUGAAAUUAACCUUAGCGCGUAUUUUAUAAUUAACAUCAUUCUGUUCUUUUGAUACAAGCGCAAGACUUUUGACGAGAACUUUUUGAGAAAUACAAGUUGAUUAAUGCCGCACACUACUUGCAGUUGAGACUAUUGUAUAAAAAAAACCUGUUCUGCUGUUGCUCGAAAGAUUGAGGAUGAAUCUCCUGAGGAGAUAUUUAGUUUAUUUAAUUUUCCCGAUGUCUUGAAAGAGGUUUCAUUCCGGCCAAUGUGCUUAAUCUCUAUAAUCGUAUAGGUUUACUAAGUUAAUUGGUACAGGCUGAAAAGUUGGAGCCUUGGAACAACGCACCUGAUGAUGUUUUGUUUAGUAUAGAGAAAGAUUAGCUUUAAACAUUUUUGUAUCAGUAGUUUACUCAUACUAUGUCUAGACCACGAAAAUCUUACAAGACUUGAUGUGAGUUCUCAAUAUGAAUAUUCUAUAUCUUAGAAGUUUGUUUUGGAGGACAAAUUUGAAAUGUUUUUUGGCAAAAAACUUGCAUUAAUAACAUUUAUUUGUAGAGUCAAAAGUUUUUUUUACAAGAUCGGUUCACUUUCAUUAAACCUCAUAUACUAUGAAAGCUCAACGUUGAUCUAUUCUUACCGGAAAAAAUUAGACCUGCUAUAUACAUUCCAGCAAUCUUCCAACCACGUUUUCACAGAUUUGUAAAGUUUUUAAUAUCAUGAAAUUCUUGAGUUGAAACAGAGGCCCGUGCCUUGCACGGGCUUUUACGCUUUGUAUUAAUUAAAGGCCAAUGUGGCUUGCAAUGUCUUAUAUAUCUAUAUUCCAGCUCUAUAAAAGAAUCUUGUAUUAUUUGAGUUUUAUUUUUUAUUUUGUCAGUUGGAAUUGUUGAUUUAUAUUACAGUUAUUUCAAACUCUUACCUAAUGUAAUCCGGGUUUGAUUGAGUUGGAUUUAUUUUGGAAUUGUUAUUGGUUGUUGCACAUUCUCUAAUGUAGAAUGAUUACUUUUAGUGUUA